rnacentral:lncRNA from 1 species
UGGGCAGGCGGGUUUUUAUCACCAUCAGGAUAAGGUUCUCCUUCUGUUCCUGACGUAGUCGAUCUCAGCUCAAGUUGGGAUGAAGUUCUCCUCCUAUUCCCAACGGGGCUGUGGGGGCACAUAAGGAUCAUUGUAAGGGCCUCUCCCCCCAUCCGGUCUAGAAAGAUCGGGCCUUCGACUUUGCUCAUGUCAGGACGAGGUUCUCCUCCUGUUCCUAACAUGGCUG